AUUGAACGCUGGCGGCAGGCCUAACACAUGCAAGUCGAACGAGUGGCGGACGGGUGAGUAAUGUCUGGGAAACUGCCCGAUGGAGGGGGAUAACUACUGGAAACGGUCGCUAAUACCGCAUACUAUCGGAUGUGCCCAGAUGGGAUUAGCUAGUAGGUGGGGUAACGGCUCACCUAGGCGACGAUCCCUAGCUGGUCUGAGAGGAUGAUCAGCCACAAUGGGACUGAGACACGGGCCAGACUCCUACGGGAGGCAGCAGUGGGGAAUAUUGCACAAUGGGCGCAAGCCUGAUGCAGCCAUGCCGCGUGUAUGAAGAAGGCCUUAGGGUUGUAAAGUACUUUCAGCGGGGAGGCGUUACCCGCAGAAGAAGCACCGGCUAACUCCGUGCCAGCCGCCGCGGUAAUUC
rnacentral:rRNA from 1 species